UACGUAGGGUGCAAGCGUUUGUCCGGAAUUAUUGGGCGUAAAGAGCUCGUAGGCGGUUUGUCGCGUCUGCUGUGAAAUCCCGAGGCUCAACCUCGGGCCUGCAGUGGGUACGGGCAGACUGGAGUGCGGUAGGGGAGAAUGGAAUUCCUGGUGUAGCGGUGAAAUGCGUAGAUAUCGGAAGGAACAUCAGUGGCGAAAGCGACUUCCUGGACCAGUACCGACGUUCAGGCACGAAAGCGUGGGGAGCAAACAGG
rnacentral:rRNA from 1 species